AUAUGGUCUGUGUAAAUCCUACCUUCGUCAGACCCCACUUGUGGGAUUACACCACCGCUAUCGCUGAGGGUAUGUUGUUGUUGUUGAAUAGAUUUGUUGUUGUAAAUGAUGGUGUAUAAAACUGAAUUGUGUUAUGUGAUUGAAUAUGUUAUUAAAUCUUAUUUCUGAUUCUAACAAACUAUAAAGUGGAAAUUGUAGACAUCAAGUAUACUGUUAGCGUUAUGGCCCCUUGUCAACGAGUCAAUUCCUUUUAUCUUAUUGCACUUGCAGGGAAAUUGGUAUCUUAAAUUCAUAUUCUCAUCAGUGUACUUGCGAACUUGUUAAUGUAGGAUACAAUCACUGGGUUUUUACUAGCAGGAGUUGGUAAUGUUGAUUUGAGGAGGAAAGCUAACUAUCUUUUUGUUGAUUCAAAAAUAAUGGUGAAAUAGAUUGCAGAUGCUGUUAAAGAAUUCACCACAAGGGAGGACAUUGCGAUAGUGUUAAUCAGCCAAUAUGAAAAAAUAUAGACUUUCCUAAACGCAACAGUAGCUGAGAAGCCUGAUUGAGAAGUGAAAAAUAAAGUUUAAUCAGAGUGUGAUGUAGGAAGGUUGCAAACGUGAUCAGAUUCUUGGUUGAUAGUUACAGUAAACCAAUCCCAGCCAUUCUGGAGAUUCCUUCAAAGGAUCAUCCAUAUGAUUCUGCUCACGACUCUGUUCUUUCAUGAGUGAAGUACCUCUUCUCUAGUGAAUCAGUGGCAUCUGAUAGACGAUGAGGAAAAAAUGGUUUACAUAUACCUCUAAUCAUUAGUUUCACCAUUUUAUCAUGCAUCUUUCUAUCAUCAUUGUCCUAAGAUUAUUCCUUAAUCAUUCUUGAUGCUUAACUCACAUUGCCUGUUCAGUUCCUUAUUUACUGCUUCUUUUUUCACCGCUCGAGUGAGUGACUUAUCCUUGUAAUAAGUUGAAUGUUGGUCACCCUACAGAGUUUGCACUUAUUUUACGCAACAGAGUUUUUAUAGGAUAGAAAUGUACUGUGUGCUUAUUGAUAUUAGGAGUCAAGAUUUGGGUUUGUGUUGCUUCAAUGUAUUAAAGUCUUAGAAGGUAAACUCACAAUGAUCUUGUAUCUGUUUUCUGUUAAGUUGUUGCCUUUUGUUAUUCAAAUAUUAAGAGACAGAAGCCAUAAUUUGAUUUGAUAUUGCAUAUCCAAUAUGAUGGACAUGUCCUGGUUGAUAAACAUCAAAGCCGUGUGGUCCUCAGACUGCUGCCCCCUACCCGAAAUUUCUUCAUUCUCAUAACUCGAGCCCCAGAUUUUCUGGAUAUUCUAAGUCCUUUGACAAUUUCUCUUUGUUGAUACUAACUCGGUUAAUUCAAAUUCUCACCAUACAUAAUCAAGUAAAAGAGAACAUGUCAGUGGUUUGAUCUCCAUUCACAAUUGGACAAUACACAUGCCUCCAAUUUUACAUCCAUGUACUCUGUUUUGAGAUUUUCUUAAUUGUUACAUGUCAUACAAUGUUAACGGUUCUUGCCUCGAUGAUUCGAUGAUGAACUUUUAGCGUAAAAGUUGCUACUUAAAGGUAGUGAGCCACUUCCUCAAUGUAGAUGUUGUGUAGCUGCUCCACAAGACUAUGUUGAGCCUUAUCCUGUUCCUCGGAUUUUUUUUGUUGUAUGGACAGCGUAUACUUGCAAAACUUACUAUUGUUUUAUCAAUCGCGUUAAGACUCACAGAGGCUUUGAUGAUUGUAAAGAUUGUUUUGAUCUUAUUGGCAGAGAGAAAACUCGUUGGACAGCGAAAAAUGGUGCUGGUGUUGACUUCUCUAUGGAUGAAGUGUUAGCAGCAACGAGGGUUAUACCUGUGUACAUUAGCAUCUUACAAAGAUUUCCCUUUUUCGACAACAUGUUGAAUACCAACACUUUCACACUUCUUGUUUUUCGAUAUUUUAUAGGGUGUUAAGGCCUGGUGAGCUGUUUUGGCUUGACCAUUUCUUCUGUGUUGGUUGAGCAAUUGGAGAAAGUGUAUGCACCACUUAUCGAUAGUAUUGGUUUCAAUAAGGUGAAGUGGAUCGUGGGAAGGAAACUCGAUAGAGGCCCCGAGCUAAACGAAAUGUUACCUUUCAACAAUAUUGGAAAAGCCAUUGAAGAAUUCUUUGUGACUCUACUACAUCUUCCUUUUUCUUUUACUUUCUUUGUAAAAUACUUAGAUCUUGCUUCUGCAUCUGUUGAAGUGAUCGAUAACUUGCCCUACUGGAAAAACGCAAAUUGCUGAUGGCCUUCUCAUUGAAAAUCUGUCAAAAUUGUACUCUUCAUACUUCCUUCUCAUCGAA